rnacentral:miRNA from 1 species
AUUUCCUGGAGAUCUUGUUAAAAUGCAGAUUCGGAUUCAAUGGUCUAGGCAGGCCAGAGAGUCUGCAUUUCUAACAACUUCCCUGAUGAUG